rnacentral:lncRNA from 1 species
AUUUUUUGAGGAUUGUAUGGGAAAAAUUUUAAUUUAAUUUGAACUAAACUAUAUGCCGACGGUUUAGAACUGUUAUAAUAAUUAGUUAAAAUUGCUGCUAAAAUAUAUUUUUGCUAGCGUUUGUAUUAAGUGUCAUUAAAUUAACUGUCACUAUAAAUCAACUUUUUUGUAGUGCGCACUACAGAAAAAUUAGGUUUUAAAAACAGUCG